rnacentral:rRNA from 1 species
UGCGUAGGCGGCUUUGUAGGUCAGAUGUGAAAGCCCACGGCUCAACCGUGGAAUUGCGUUUGAAACCACAAGGCUUGAGGGGAUCAGAGGAGAGCGGAACUGAUGGUGGAGCGGUGAAAUGCGUUGAUAUCAUCAGGAACACCGGUGGCGAAAGCGGCUCUCUGGGAUCUUUCUGACGCUGAGGCACGAAAGCUAGGGGAGCGAACG